AUUAUACAGUCACUGUGUUUAGAUAUUUAACUUAACUGUAUUAAUAACACAAUUUGUAUGCCUGUAUAUUGACACAUUGAUGUGCUGGAAAUGAACACAUAUGUUUUAAGAAUGCAGGAAGCACAAACCCACAGACCUUACACUACAUAACUAAGUUACAUAUACAAACCCAGUUCUUAAAAUACUGGGAUGCAAUGAUUUCUCAUAAACCCAUAUUUUAUUCACAGUGGAACACAGAAGACACAUGAAAUGUUGAAACUGAGACAUUUUACUGCUUUAUGAAAAACAUUAGCUACAUUUGGAUUUGAUUAUUUUGUUCAGCUUUGUAACUUUUUUGAGAGAGCAGGAAAAAAACCUUGAUAUCAACUUAUUUUAUACAGUUACACAAAUAUCAGAUUGUAGAAAAGCCAACUAUUAAUAUUAUUAUUACUGGACAAUUUAAUGCUGUGCCUGCUCUAUGGUAGCUAGUAUAGGCUCAAGCCCUAUAACAGACGAGGCUGGAUGGAUGGAGAAUUCAAGCUAUGAGAUCUAAAUAGUCAAGGUCACAACUGAAUGUCUGUUACAGGCCAAUAUUCAUCUGCAGUACAUCAAUCAGGAUUAAACUGCUGUUUAGUCCUCCUGGAUUCUGUCAUCACAGCUACAUCACUUCCUCUUUUAUUAUUGUUUUCCUUUGCAGUUUUCUAGUUUUAAGUUUUUUUAAUAAUCAUUUUCCUUCCAUUGUUUUUUUUGCACUAUAUUUGUCACCAUUUGUGUCAUUUCAUGCAAACAAUUCUCUGUAUUGUCUUUAAAAGUCCACUAGUUUAUCCUCAGUGAACAUGGAACAUAAUAUUUUACAUUAACGUCUAUCUGUCAUCGUUAUGUUACAUUUUGAAUAAGCAGAUGUGCAUAUCUUUAAAAUGAACAAUAAAAUGUAAAUAGGGGAAAUUAGACAAGAUGAACUGGCAUCACAGACAGCCACAGUUUCCUUUGCAGUGGACUAAAUGACUUUGUUAAAAAGAAGAAGUCAGUAUUGCUACAAUAGGAAUAAACACUAGCUACAUAUACAGUACAUUUGACCAGGUUUUAGGUCUGUAGUGCGUUCUUGGUUUCACAUGGACAUGUUAACCUGAGAGCUUUUAUUGGGAGGCACAGAACAAUCCCUUGUUACCAUGGUUACUCACUGUGACGCAUGCCUGUGCGCACAGUUUGAGAGGAGAAACACAGACACUGUGCGUACCUCCAACAAAUAAUUCAGGACAUGAGCACCUGGCAACCGAGAGCAGACAGUCACACUGAAAUCUCAGUGGAUAAAAAAGAGAAAAUAGCUGAGCGGGUGAGACCAACGUGAGCUUAAGGACAAAUCAUUUGAUAUGAGAAAAAUAAACCAGAGACGAGUUGUGUUAGUGGAAUUCAUGGUCCCCCAAAUCUGCCCGUGUACUAUUUAAACCACCUGAUGGAAUACGUUCAGAGUACACCGGCUUAGACUGUCCCACAGCUGGAAACUGAGACGUUCAUCCGUGAGAUCACUUUGUUUGCAUUACAUUGUGAAAUUGCCUUGGGCAGCCUUACCUGGACUAACCUACCUCUCCUCUUUCUCAAUGAACUCGAGCAAGUUUUUUUCUUGUGUUUAAAGAAAAAAAUGUGAAACUAUCUCUUUUGGCUUUUGUUUCAGAGUCAGAACUAAGAAUAAAUGUUCAAGACGAUUCACGCCAUUAAUUAGAGACUAUCCUUCCUCCACAGAAGGAAAAAUGCCUCUACGCAGGAACCUGGAUGAACAAUCAAGAGGGAGAUUCCUACAAAGAGCUGAUUCUGUGUGUCUGUGUUUGAGCUUUGGGUCUUGCUAACUGGAAAAUGUUUCCCUUAACCUUUCCCUUGACUUUUUUGUAAACAAACAUGUUAACUUUUCUUAUCUGCACCACCAACUAUGACAGAAAAAUCAGGCCAAAGAUCGGUGACUUGCUGACUUUAUUGCCACAUUCAGAACAAUUCCCAUGGUCCUUGAAACGCAGCUGUUCCCAAAGGAGAUGUAUGUUGGAGAAAAAGUGUGAUGCAAAUGAAGGUAAGCCAUUGCAACUUAGCUGAGCUUGUCCAUCUCCACUAGAGAGAUGCCAAAGAAUUGCUGUGGGUGAGUGUUUAUACUGUGGACAGAAGGGAAAAUUGAAACCUGCCCAAAGCUGCCAAGAAAUGAUGCCCAACAGUAUAGGUUGGGAUAUUGGCAGGCAAAAUAAAUAAUACAGUAAUUCCCUACCAAGAUUUUUGCUCCCACCCAAGACAACAUGUCUAUCUGUAACCCAUUCUCUCCGAACUCUUGACUUGGAUCACAGCCUGGCUGUAAAACUAUCCCAGAGUUACCCAAACCUUUGCAGGUGUCAGCUUUGGAUGGGAGUCAUCCUCUGGACAUCACCCACAGAAGCCGGCCUGCCACUCUCUCCCUAUAUGGAACUUAUCUGAACACCAGACGCACAGCCACCAUGUGCUGCGCCACCUGUGAAAAAACAAACUCUAUGUCAAAGGUGAGAAAUGUGAAUUUCAUGUUGACUCAGUGUCAUUCCUUGGCUUUAUCACACAGGAAGGCUGAAGCAGCAAGAGUCCAGGUAGUAUUGGAUUAGUCCAAACAAACAACCCUGAAGCACCUCCAGCAUUUCCUUGGCUGUGCUAACUUUUACUGCUCCUUGUGGCUCAGUUGCAGAUCAGGGGUGGUACAGUGGGGUCAGAGGACAGUGCUAGGAGUGUCUGGAUGGGACAGCUGGCAGCGAGUAAACUCAGAUCUCUUCUGUUGUUGAUGCAGUAGUGCACUGGGACAGAGAGCCUGUGGAGAGACAGUAAUCAGUGCUACAGCCUUGUAACUAACCACCCUCACUUCUCCAAAGCUUCAGAACCCAAAUUCAACCUGAUCCAUCACAACGGUUUAUUGUUGUGCCUUGAGGCGACUGUCAUUUUGAUUUGGCGCUAUAUAAAUACUUUUUUGGAAUUGUGGGAGUCACAGCAAAGAGAAGGUAAAAUACAUCCUUGUGCCUUCUUCUCCCAUCUCUCGGGUACAACUGACACCUCAGACAACGGUUAAAGUCAAAGGUUGCACAACUUGAGUUCAUGGCAGCCAUUGCAAGACGAUUCCAGAACCACAAUAAUAAUCCAAACGGUUAAACAGAUUUCCACAUAUAUAACAACAAGUGUACAGUGUGCCCGUUCCACCUAGUAAGAGUGAGGGUGCAAAGACUACAAGGUUCAGCAUGUUGUUUUAUU